rnacentral:ncRNA from 1 species
GUAAAUAGGGGUGCUUAAUUGCUGAGAUCAAGUUUAACUUGAAACCCUUUAACCUGAUCCGGGUAAUGCCGGCGGAGGGAAAUAUAGUGUUU